rnacentral:rRNA from 1 species
GAUGAACGCUGGCGGCGUGCCUAAUACAUGCAAGUCGAACGAACAGACGCGGAGCUUGCCCCUCUGACGUUAGGGGCGGACGGGUGUGUCACACGUGGAUACCCUACCUAUCAGACUGGGAUAACUUCGGGAAACCGGCGCUAAUCCCGUAUAAUAUCUUGACCCACGUGGUUCAAUAGUAAAAGUCGGUUUUGCUGUCACUUAUAGAUGGUUCCGCGCCGCUUUAGCUAGUUGGUAAUGUAACGGCUUAGCAAGGCAACGAUGCGUAGCCGACCUGAGAGGGUGGUCGCCGACCCUGGAGGUGAGCCACGGUCCAUACUCCUGCGAGACGGCGCAGAAUGCUACGUGACGCAGUGGGCGAAAGCAUGACAGAGCAAGGCCACGCCAGUGAUGGAGGCCUUCGGAUCGUAAAAAUCUGUUACGAGUUAAAAACAACUGUGUAAGUAACUAUGCACGUCUUGACGGUACCUGAUCAGAAAGCCCCGGCUAACUACGUG